UACGUAGGGGGCUAGCGUUAUCCGGAUUUACUGGGCGUAAAGGGUGCGUAGGCGGUCUUUCAAGUCAGGAGUGAAAGGCUACGGCUCAACCGUAGUAAGCUCUUGAAACUGUGAGACUUGAGUGCAGGAGAGGAGAGUGGAAUUCCUAGUGUAGCGGUGAAAUGCGUAGAUAUUAGGAGGAACACCAGUUGCGAAGGCGGCUCUCUGGACUGUAACUGACACUGAGGCACGAAAGCGUGGGGAGCAAACAGGAUUAGAUACCCGCGUA
rnacentral:rRNA from 1 species